CAGAAGCACUCCCUCUCUCACUCUAAAUCUCUAACCUCUAUGGGCUAUGGCGUUCCUGCUACAACAUUUUCAAAGAUAUUGAUUGGACUGGCUCAAUAUAUUCAGAUAAUGGUCAGGAUCGAUAGCCCUCAUGGACUGGCUGGAAUCCCCUAAUGCCCACAUCUUCAAGAUCAAUGUCCCAGAGAAUAGUUGAUUGGCUUGCUGAAAACUUUAAGAUAGAUGAAGGAGCGAGUCGAUAAUGCAAUUAUAGAAUAGUUGAUUGGCUUGCUGAAAACUUUAAGAUAGAUGAAGGAGCGAGUCGAUAAUGCAAUUAUGUAAGCCUCUAUUGAAAAAAUUAGUGAGAAUAGUUGAUUGGCUUGCUGAGAACUUUAAGAUAGAUGAAGGAGCGAGUCGAUAAUGCAAUUAUUUUGGCAUGGAUAAAGAUCACAACAAGGCGUUAGCAGAAGAGUUGCUCCUUUUCAAGAAUGGCUUCAUUAUGGGCACAGUUGAUUCCUUUGAUAUUUGACGAUUUUUUAGUGAAGUUAUUGAAAAUUUUCAAACCUAAACCGUUCACAAAGCAGUUUUUUUAGGCUAUUAUUAGAUUGACCUCAACCUUGGACUCAUGAUUUGAGCUUUUUCACAAAGAUAAUGCUCGGUGAAGGUGUUACACGCUAAGUCGAAACAUAAUGAUUUGAUGGCCCCUGAAGGUUCAGAAGUGGUGGAGAAAGUAGAGCAGCCUUAAGUUGCACAUUGUUAUGGUGGAUAUUAGACUAUUGUCCUUAUUAGUUUAUGUAGUUCGAUAUUUGGUUCCUUAUGAUUUGAAGAGUGAAGGAGGUUGUGUAUGGCCUUGCAAAAGAUGGGUAUGUGCAGAGUGAUUUCUUAGCUUAAGGUUUCUGUCGAUAACUUGAUAUGAGAAUAAUUUGUGCUUGACAUAUUGUUCUUUGUAACUUUUGUUACUUUUACUGUAAGUGAAUGGACAGGUACCUAGGGUCGUAUUUUAAAGUUUUAUUUGAAGUCUUCUGUAUAUGUGUUGUUGUAGUUUAAACUUGGUAUUUGAAUUGUUAAAUUGUUAAUUCACA